rnacentral:lncRNA from 1 species
GCUAUGAAGAUUACUUCAUUUUCGAACUCCUCUGAACCUUGACCAGACAUCUCUGCAAGCCUUUUCACAGCAACUUCUGUGCCAUCUGGUAAAGUACCCUGGUAAACAGAUGAAUCUCAAGUUAAAAAUCAAAACUAUAACUUCAUUGAUUGACUUCUGGAUACAAUUUAUUCAUACCUUGUAAACAGGGCCAAAUCCACCUUCUCCUAAUUUAGAUGACUCUGAAAAGUUAUCCGUGGCCUGUUGAAUUACACUUAAAGGAAUUAUAGGAAGGUCUCCAUGCAAUGAAUCAUCUCUUUGAACAUGAUCACGGAAAGACAUCGGCGUAACGGUUCUCAACAGCAAACCACCUAAGAAGGAAGAUAGUAAGUCUAAAUAGUGACUUUUUAUCAUAGAUAAUUGUGAAAUGGGCUUAUAGAAUUCUCAACAUUAUGUAACUUGUUAUAUUUACCUUCACUUAAUCCUUUCUUUUUCCAGUAAUAGUAGCCAUAGCAACUUAGUAGAGCUACUGCCACAAGCACACUUACUACGAUGAUGAUCAAAGUUUUG